UCAAAUGGAAGAAGCUGGUA
rnacentral:miRNA from 1 species